AUUGAACGCUGGCGGCAGGCUUAACACAUGCAAGUCGAACGAAGUGGCGAACGGGUGAGUAACGCGUAAUCAACCUGCCCUUCAGAGGGGGACAACAGUUGGAACGACUGCUAAUACCGCAUUCUGCAGGAGGGGGUUGCGGCUGUUUAGCUAGUUGGAGGGGUAACGGCCCACCCAGGCGAUCAUCAGUAGCCGGGCUGAGAGGAUGAACGGCCACAUUGGGACUGAGACACGGCCCAGACUCCUACGGGAGGCAGCAGUGGGGAAUCUUCCGAAAUGGACGAAAGUCUGACGGAGCAACGCCGCGGGAGUGAUGACGGCCUUCGGGUUGUAAAGCUCUGUUAAUCGGGACGCGGUACCGGAAUAGAAAGCCACGGCUAACUACGUGCCAGCAGCCGCGGUAAUAC
rnacentral:rRNA from 1 species